rnacentral:pre_miRNA from 1 species
GGGGCUGACAGAAGAGAGUGAGCUCAGAUUACACAUUUGUAAUGAGUACUAAGUUUAUCAUCUUCCUCAUGCUACAUAUUUGUGUAAUGUGUGCUCACUUCUCUAUCUGUCAGCUGC